rnacentral:tRNA from 1 species
CGGGGCGUAGCGCAGUUUGGUAGCGCACUUGCAUGGGGUGCAAGGGGUCGCAGGUUCAAAUCCUGCCGUCCCGACCA